rnacentral:lncRNA from 1 species
CUCGCAAAUAUCCUGUGGUUUAUUUGAAAAUAAACAUGAAUGAAAAGAGCAUGCUGAUUCUCCAAGAGAUAAAAACGUGCGUCACAAUUAUUGUUAUCGACAACAAAUGCAUUUCCAGCAGUAUUACUUGAACUUUGUGGACAUCUGUUAAUUUCUUGCUCUUUAAGUUGCAAAUGACGGAUUUAAUCUAUAGAUUUCAACCAUCUCUCUUUUAAUUCAGACCAGUAGACUACCAACACGCACAUAAAAAAAGAUCAAACAGGAAAAGUCAUAACAGGAAAAAACAAUUAACAUUUAGAAUAUGUAUUAACAAUUAAUUGUAUUGUGUUUAUGUGGUUUGUUUGUUCCCGGUGGUAACAUCCUUCUAGUUUGAACAGACAAAAGAUUCUUACAAUACCCGCCA